AUGAGGAACCCGCCCGGCCGGUACCUCCUGCGCGUCGCCACCCGCGCCGUGCGCUCCUCGUCCGGGCUCGGCGGCUCCGGCGCCGGGGCCUCCACCUCCGCCACGUCCCCCGUCGCCGCCUCGUCCGGGGGCCGCCCGCGCAGCCGCGGCGGCGGCAUGCUCCUCCGGGCCACGUCCCCGCCCCCGCCCUCCGCCGUCGCGGCCGCCGCGUGCUGGGAGUCCCGCACGCUGCGCCGCGACGGGGAGGACGACUGGGAGGAGGUCGUCGCCGCGGGCGACGCGGCGGCUCCGGGCGCCGGCGACGCGGAGGUGGACAGCGACUACAGGGUUGUCUUCUGGUCCCCACCCACCGGGGAUGAAGUCCGCGCCGCCUUCUCUAGCAUCCAAGAGGUGUUUGAGGGUUCUUAUUAUGAUGUGAAUUCAGAUGAAACUGAGAAACAACUAGCAUUGCUGUCCAACUCGGAGCAUUCUUCAUCAACCAAUUCAUCAGGAUCAGACGAUUGGGUCGAACCUGCUGCAUAUGUUCUCAACUCUACUGCUCUUCUGACCAGGGAGCAUAGGAAUGUUUUGGAUGCCUUCCGUCUAUUGCAAAGAGACCCUAAUGUUCAGAAAAUGGUUAUGUCCUUGUCAUGUGAUAGGACUGUCUGGGAUGCUGUAAUGAAUAACGAGGCAGUGCAAGAAUUCAGGAGAUCUUUUCAGGAUGGCAAAGAAGUUAAUAGAAAGGGAAACUCUUGUGGCCCUGCUGCAGUGCUUAAGUGGAUCCUAGCCAACACCCAGGCAAAAAUAACGGAAUUCUUCGAUAAUAUAGUGAAGAUUGUCAGCAUGCUCUUCCACCCUCAAAGCGAUGAAGAUAAGCCUGAUCUGUACAGCGAUGCAGUGAAGGUGUCCUUCAUGCUCUCGGUGUUCGUCUUCAUCGUGGUGGCCGUUGCUCGUACCAAUUAUGAGCCGUGGGAUUUCGAAGUGUGGUGA
rnacentral:rRNA from 1 species